GACGAACGCUGGCGGCGUGCUUAACAUAUGCAAGUCGAACGGAAAGGCCCUGCUUUUGUGGGGUGCUCGAGUGGCGAACGGGUGAGUAACACGUGAGUAACCUGCCCUUGACUUUGGGAUAACUUCAGGAAACUGGGGCUAAUACCGGAUAGGAGCUCCUGCUGCAUGGGGGUGGUUGGAAAGUGUCGGCGGUGGUGGAUGGACUCGCGGCUUAUCAGCUUGUUGGUGGGGUAGUGGCUUACCAAGGCUUUGACGGGUAGCCGGCCUGAGAGGGUGACCGGCGACCUUGGGCCUGAGAUACGGACCAGAAUCCUACGGGCGGCAGCAGGGGGGAAUAUUGCACAAUGGGCCGACGCCUGAUGCAGCAACGCCGCGUGCGGGAUGAUGGCCUUCGGGUUGUAAACCGCUUUCGCCUGUGCCGAAGCGUGAGUGACGGUAAUGGGUCAAGAAGCAACGGCUAACUACGUG
rnacentral:rRNA from 1 species